AUUGAACGCUGGCGGCAGGCCUAACACAUGCAAGUCGAACGAGUGGCGGACGGGUGAGUAAUGUCUGGGAAACUGCCUGAUUGAGGGGUAUACCUCCUGGAAACGUUAGCUAAUCCCGCCUACCAUCAGAUGUGCCCCGAUGGGAUUAGCUUGUUGGUGGGGUAACGGCUCACCAAGGCGACGAUCCCUCGCUGGUCUGAGAGGAUGACCAGCCACACUGGAAGUGAGAUAAGUGCCAGACUCCUACGGGAGGCAGGAGUGGGGAAUAUUGCACAAUGGGGGCAGGCUUGAUGGAGCAAUACAGAGUGUAUGAAGAAGGAUGGCGGGUUGGAAAGUAAUUUCGGCGGGGAGGCGUUACCGGUAGAAGAAGCACCGGCGAACGCAGUGCCAGCAGCCGCGGUAAUAC
rnacentral:rRNA from 1 species